rnacentral:misc_RNA from 1 species
ACCAUCUGAAGCAUUCUCGUCCACCAAAGAAUUAGUAGUUUCAUCCACCGGAUUGGAUGAAGUUUCAACAUUUAAUGUUGAUUUAGAGUCUGCAGGAACUGGAAUCCACUUUAACCAUUCAUCACGUUUUCGCACCUUCUCACCCUGAACUUCGACACUUGCAGAUGAGAGCAGAGAAUCAAGGAUAAAUGAAAUGUCAGUGCUCAUUUUCUUAACCCUUUUGAAUUCAGCAAUGGCUGAUAUUGGAACCCAUCCAUGGUCAUCCAUCAAAGAUAUUAGGUAAUGGUCAUUCUUCAGAUUUUCAUCGCUAAAAUAAUACUCAAUUUGCUUUAUUAUGUUGGCCCGAAGUGCUAGCAUAUCUGGG